rnacentral:rRNA from 1 species
AUUGAACGCUGGCGGCAGGCCUAACACAUGCAAGUCGAACGAGUGGCGGACGGGUGAGUAAUGUCUGGGAAACUGCCUGAUGGAGGGGGAUAACUACUGGAAACGGUAGCUAAUACCGCAUACCAUCGGAUGUGCCCAUAGGGGAUUAGCUAGUAGGUGGGGUAAAGGCUCACCUAGGCGACGAUCCCUAGCUGGUCUGAGAGGAUGACCAGCCACACUGGAACUGAGACACGGCCCAGACUCCUACGGGAGGCAGCAGUGGGGAAUAUUGCACAAUGGGCGCAAGCCUGAUGCAGCCAUGCCGCGUGUAUGAAGAAGGCCUUCGGGUUGUAAAGUACUUUCAGCGGGGAGGCGUUACCGACAGAAGAAGCACCGGCUAACUCCGUGCCAGCAGCCGCGGUAAUUC